GCUUGUCUCAAAGAUUAAGCCAUGCAUGUCUAAGUAUAAACAAAUCUAUACUGUGAAACUGCGAAUGGCUCAUUAUAUCAGUUAUAGUUUAUUUGAAGGUCCUUGCUACUUGGAUAACCGUAGUAAUUCUAGAGCUAAUACAUGCAUCAAACCCCGACUUUUGGAAGGGGUGUAUUUAUUAGAUGGAAACCAAUGCGGGGCAACCCGGUAAAUGGUGAUUCAUAAUAACUUUCGGAUCGGUCUUCGGAUCGAUGCUUCAUUCAAGUUUCUGCCCUAUCAGCUUUGGAUGGUAGGGUAUUGGCCUACCAUGGCUUUAACGGGUAACGGAGAAUUAGGGUUCGAUUCCGGAGAGGGAGCCUGAGAAAUGGCUACCACAUCCAAGGAAGGCAGC
rnacentral:rRNA from 1 species